AUUGAACGCUGGCGGCAGGCCUAACACAUGCAAGUCGAACGAGUGGCGGACGGGUGAGUAAUGUCUGGGAAACUGCCUGAUGGAGGGGGAUAACUACUGGAAACGGUAGCUAAUACCGCAUAAUAUCGGAUGUGCCGAUAUGGGAUUAGCGAGUAGGUGGGGUAAAGGCUCACCGAGGCGAAGGUCCCUAGCUGGGCUGAGAGGAUGACCAGCCACACUGUAACUGAGACACGGUCCAUACUCCUACGGGAGGCAGCAGUGGGGAAUAUUGCACAAUGGGCGGAAGCCUGAUGCAGCCAUGCCGCGUGUAUGACGGAGGCCGUCGGGUUGUAAAGUACUUUCGGCGGGGAGGCGUUACCCGCAGAAGAAGCACCGGCUAACUCCGUGACAGCAGCCGCGGUAAUAC
rnacentral:rRNA from 1 species